GUGCUAAGCGGUUUACAUCUAUAAUAGCACCAAAUCUUCACAAGAACCGUUUUUUAACCCUGUAUUUUGAAAAAUCUCCUGUGGCACAGAUUAAGAAACUGAGAUUUUUAAAAAAAAAAAAGAAAGAAACUGAGAUUUCAACAAGUUGUAGGUAGUUGCCCAAGCCCACUCAAGUUGGAAAAAGGUGAGAUUCAUUCAGUCUAUUUCCAGAGCCUCAUGCUGGUAACCAACCUUCCAUCCUGCAGAGCUCUGUAAACAAAUAUUUGUUAUGCUAAUGUUCAAACUGUGGCUCUCUCCUGCCCUGGAGUCUCUGACCAUUCUCCGGAGCACCGGAGCACCGAGUGGGAGGUCCAGGUGAAGCCUCUGUGUGGAAGAAAGGCUGGCUGAAUAUCCAACAGCAGCUCCAGCUCAGUGUGAAGACAUCUACAGUACUUGGCUGAGACUACACUGCUAUGGAGGAAGAUACUAGACUGAUAAUUCAAGACCUGUUUAGAUCGAAGAUCAAAAAGGGACGCUUGAAGGUUCCAGCUUCUUUUCUAAAACAGAGGCUGAAAGAUCAAGAAAGGCUGUGAACACACAUUGAGGAGAAGAGCAAACCAAGAUAAGAAAUGAAUGUGAAGACUUAAUGGCAGCUGCAUGAAAAAUG
rnacentral:lncRNA from 1 species